UAAAAAUAAAUGAUAUAAUAUAGAAUAAUGUUGACUCACCAAACUAUUUAAGUUUGGCGAGUCAAAACUGCAUUGCGUUUUGACUAUAACAGCCUUGAAAUGUAAAUUUUCUUUUAUGAAAAUAAAAUAGUGGAUAUGAUUUGGUAUUAAAAUAGUGGAUAUGGUUUGGUAUUAAAAUAGUGGAUAUGGUUUGGUAUCAAAAUAGUGGAUAUGGUUUGGUAUCAAAAUAGUGGAUAUGGUUUGGUACCAAAAUAGUGGAUAUGGUUUGGUAUCAAAAUAGUGGAUAUGGUUUGGUACCAAAAAUUCUGAAUUUUUUCUAUUCUAUUUUUAACGUGUUUUUGUUUGCUGAAUCAAUGACAUCUUGUGAUAAGAAAGCAUCUACCAAUGUUUUUGUUAAAUUGUAAAACCUGCUUAGUUUUUUAGUAAACUCUUGAUGAUGUCUUUUAUUGUGACCAAUCCUGCCCAUAUAGUUGCUAAAUCUUAAACGCUUUUUAAAUAUAAUAUAUUCACUCAAAUUCGGUAUUUUAUACAUUUCUAAUUUCAUCCAAUUUUUCUUUUUUUCUAACGUUGGUAGACUAAUAUUUUUGUCAUUUUAUAAUAAGAGAUGCAUUUUGGCGCUCCAAUCCUAGUUGAUCUUUGUUGUACACUUACCAGUUUAAUCAUAUUUUUACAAAAAUGUUGAAUCCAUUUUAAUGCUGCAUAUGCAAGUUUUGGUCUAAUAGUUGAUUUAAAUAACAACAUUAAUAUCAAGAUAUUCAAAUUCAAAUAUUAAAAAACUAAGUAUUUGUUUAGCUUUUCUUACAACAAUAAUAAAGCUGAUAUAUACCAAAGUUUAUUUACUCAUUUUUUUAUUGUUAUAAACCAAUGUCCUAAAAUUUUAAAAACUAAUGUUUUAUAAUGAGCAAGUUAAAACACUAGUUCAAAAAUGAUUUAAUUAAUGUUAUACAUUUUAUGAAGCAUUUAAUGCAAGAGAAAAUUUAGAUUUGAGUGCAACCAAAUGGCAACAAAAAGUAAAGAAAUCAUUUGCUGAAUAUUGUGAAACAUUCUUUUUUUACUUUUUAAGAAUUACAACAAUGUUUUAGAAUACAUUAGUUUAAAUAAAAA